rnacentral:rRNA from 1 species
UACGGAGGGUGCAAACGUUGCUCGGAAUCAUUGGGCGUAAAGCGUGCGCAGGCGGUCUCUUAAGACAGGUGUGAAAUCCCCGGGCUUAACCUGGGAACUGCGCUUGUAACUGAGAGGCUUGAGUGUGCCAGAGGGGGGGUGGAAUUCCACGUGUAGCAGUGAAAUGCGUAGAGAUGUGGAGGAACACCGAUGGCGAAGGCGACUUUCUGGCCUAUAACUGACGCUGAGGUGCGAAAGCGUGGGGAGCAAACAGG